CGACCGGCGCACGGGUGAGUAACGCGUAUGCAACUUGCCUAUCAGAGGGGGAUAACCCGGCGAAAGUCGGACUAAUACCGCAUGAAGCAGGGGCCCCGCAUGGGGAUAUUUGCUAAAGAUUCAUCGCUGAUAGAUAGGCAUGCGUUCCAUUAGGCAGUUGGCGGGGUAACGGCCCACCAAACCGACGAUGGAUAGGGGUUCUGAGAGGAAGGUCCCCCACAUUGGUACUGAGACACGGACCAAACUCCUACGGGAGGCAGCAG
rnacentral:rRNA from 1 species